rnacentral:rRNA from 1 species
GACGAACGCUGGCGGCGUGCCUAAUACAUGCAAGUAGAACGCUGAAGAGAGGAGCUUGCUCUUCUUGGAUGAGUUGCGAACGGGUGAGUAACGCGUAGGUAACCUGCCUUGUAGCGGGGGAUAACUAUUGGAAACGAUAGCUAAUACCGCAUAACAAUGGAUGACACAUGUCAUUUAUUUGAAAGGGGCAAUUGCUCCACUACAAGAUGGACCUGCGUUGUAUUAGCUAGUAGGUAAGGUAAUGACUCACCUAGGCGACGAUACAUAGCCGACCUGAGAGGGUGAUCGGCCACACUGGGACUGAGACACGGCCCAGACUCCUACGGGAGGCAGCAGUAGGGAAUCUUCGGCAAUGGGGGCAACCCUGACCGAGCAACGCCGCGUGAGUGAAGAAGGUUUUCGGAUCGUAAAGCUCUGUUGUAAGUCAAGAACGGGUGUGAGAGUGGAAAGUUCACACUGUGACGGUAGCUUACCAGAAAGGGACGGCUAACUACGUG